UGCUUUGCUCUUGGGUGUUUAAGGAC
rnacentral:piRNA from 1 species